rnacentral:rRNA from 1 species
CAUGCAGUCGAGCGGUAACAGGAGAAAGCUUGCUUUCUUGCUGACGAGCGGCGGACGGGUGAGUAAUGUAUGGGGAUCUGCCCGAUAGAGGGGGAUAACUACUGGAAACGGUGGCUAAUACCGCAUGACGUCUACGGACCAAAGCAGGGGCUCUUCGGACCUUGCGCUAUCGGAUGAACCCAUAUGGGAUUAGCUAGUAGGUGGGGUAAUGGCUCACCUAGGCGACGAUCUCUAGCUGGUCUGAGAGGAUGAUCAGCCACACUGGGACUGAGACACGGCCCAGACUCCUACGGGAGGCAGCAGUGGGGAAUAUUGCACAAUGGGCGCAAGCCUGAUGCAGCCAUGCCGCGUGUAUGAAGAAGGCCUUAGGGUUGUAAAGUACUUUCAGCGGGGAGGAAGGUGUUAAGAUUAAUACUCUUAGCAAUUGACGUUACCCGCAGAAGAAGCACCGGCUAACUCCGUGCCAGCAGCCGCGGUAAUACUGAGGGGGCAAGCGUU